GAUGAACGCUAGCGGCAGGCUUAAUACAUGCAAGUCGUGGGGCAGCAUGGUGUAGCAAUACAUUGAUGGCGACCGGCAAACGGGUGCGGAACACGUACACAACCUUCCUUUUAGUGGGGAAUAGCCCAGAGAAAUUUGGAUUAAUACCCCAUAAGAUAAUGAGAUGGCAUCAUCUUAUUAUUAAAGCUUCGGCGCUAGAAGAUGGGUGUGCGGCUGAUUAGGUAGUUGGCGGGGUAACGGCCCACCAGGCCUACGAUCAGUAGCUGAUGUGAGAGCAUGAUUAGUCACACGGGCACUGAGACACGGGCCCGACUCCUACGGGAGGCAGCAGUAAGGAAUAUUGGACAAUGGACGCAAGUCUGAUCCAGCCAUGCCGCGUGAAGGAUUAAGGUCCUCUGGAUUGUAAACUUCUUUUAUUUGGGACGAAAAAAGAUCAUUCUUGAUCACUUGACGGUACCAGAUGAAUAAGCACCGGCUAACUCCGUGCCAGCCGCCGCUGUAACAC
rnacentral:rRNA from 1 species